GGUGGGAUGCUAUAGUGGACCACUUGCAGUUUAAAAGGGAGGAGAAAUGGGUAUCACCAUAAUUAUAUUCUUAAAUCACAUCUUUCCUUUCGUAGCCGAUCAAGCACUCCUUCCUGAUAUCCGCAUUAAGGAGACAUAUAUUUCAUGUUAUAGGCACAGGUGAUUUGGCAAACGGGACUCCUUAGUAGAAGCCCAGGAUAUCCAGCUGCUAUUGGUGAGCUCCAGGUUGCUUCAGGGCUUUCCGAGUCUGUUCCAUAUAUUUUGGUAUUGUGCAGAAGGUCAAGAGUAUGGCGGGGGUUUGUCCCGACCCUAAAUAAGUCUAUGUAUCUUUUAGAGGCUUUUUAUACUAAUGUAAAGUUAUGGUAGUGUCUUGUCUCUAGAUGUACUAACCCCAAUGGCCAAGUGUUGUAUAUAUCAGUUGGUUUUUUCAUGUGUUACUAUACUCAUCGAUACAUAAUAUCAUUUUUUUCAAAACCUUUGGUAGUCAUAGUUACAUGCAUGGGAAGUACAAGAUUAUGAAUUAGUUCUCUCGAGCCUUUACGGCUAUGGGUGCAUGUCUGCUCUAAUAGGAUUUGAGGUGUAACAAGUUCCUAAGGUUUUUAUUGUGUAUUUAUAUGUGAAACAACUUUUUGUUAAUAUUCAAGGGCCAAUUGGAUCAA